CCUACGGGAGGCAGCAGUGAGGAAUAUUGGUCAAUGGUCGGGAGACUGAACCAGCCAAGCCGCGUGAGGGAUGAAGGUACAGAGUAUCGUAAACCUCUUUUGUCAGGGAACAAAGGCGGGGACGCGUCCCCGGAUGAGUGUACCUGAAGAAAAAGCAUCGGCUAACUCCGUGCCAGCAGCCGCGGUAAUACGGAGGAUGCGAGCGUUAUCCGGAUUUAUUGGGUUUAAAGGGUGCGCAGGCGGUCUGUUAAGUCAGCGGGAAAAGCCCGGGGCUCAACCCCGGCCCGCCGUUGAAAAUGGCAGUCUCGAGUUGGAGAGAGGUAUGCGGAAUGCGCGGUGUAGCGGUGAAAUGCAUAGAUAUCGCGAAGAACUCCGAUUGCGAAGGCAGCAUGCCGGCUCCACACUGACGCUGAGGCACGAAAGCGUGGGUAUCGAACAGGAUUAGAUACCCCUGUAGUC
rnacentral:rRNA from 1 species